rnacentral:rRNA from 1 species
AGAUAAACCAAGAAGGUGAAUCAUAAUAACUUUGCAAAUCGAAACUACGUUUCGAUACAUCAUUCAAGUUUCUGACCUAUCAUGCUCUCGAUGGUAGUGUAUUGGACUACCAUGGCAGUCACGGGUAACGGAGAAUUAGGGUUCGAUUCCGGAGAAGGAGCCUGAGAAACGGCUACUACAUCUAAGGAAGGCAGCAGGCGCGUAAAUUACCCAAUCCUAAAUCAGGGAGGUAGUGACAAGAUAUAACAACGCGAUUAAAUGUCGCGAUUGUAGUGAGGGUAUUCUAAAAAUAGCUUCGAGUACGAUUGGAGGGCAAGUCUGGUGCCAGCAGCCGCGGUAAUUCCAGCUCCAAUAGCGUAUAUUAAAGUUGCUGCAGUUAAAAAAGCUCGUAGUUGAACUUCAUGAGCAGUAGGUAGCUUACUACCUGCUCUCUACCAGUCUUUCGACUGUUACUGUGAGAAAAUUAGAGUGUUUCAAGCAGGCUAUUGCAGGAAUACAUUAGCAUGGAAA